AGAGAGAGACAUGCGCGCAUAUCAAUAAGCGGAGGAAAAGAAACUAACUAGGAUUCCCUCAGUAACGGCGAGUGAAGCGGGAAGAGCUCAAAUUUGAAAUCUUCAAGGUUCUACCUUGACGAAUUGCAGUUUAAAGAAGUGUUUUCUGUUGGAGUUUUGGUAAAAGUUCUUUGGAAUAGGACAUCAUAGAGGGUGAGAAUCCCGUAUUUGACCAUUAUUUCAGCUUUGUGAUACACUUUCAAAGAGUCGGAUUGUUUGGGAAUGCAGUCCAAAAUGGGUGGUAAAUUUCAUCUAAAGCUAAAUAUUGGCGAGAGACCGAUAGCGAACAAGUACCGUGAGGGAAAGAUGAAAAGAACUUUGAAAAGAGAGUUAAACAGUACGUGAAAUUGUCAAAAGGGAAGCGUUUGACACCAGUGUUGUUUUCUCGAAAAUCAAUUAAAAAAGGCAGGAUUUUGUGUUGUAUUGACUUUAUCAGCUUUCUACACUCUUUUCUUGUCUUUUUUAAUGCACUUUUCGUUUAACAAGUCAACAUCAAUUUCUUUUGUUGUAAAAGGGUCAUUGGAAGGUGGCUUUCUUUUCGGAGAAAGUGUUUAUAGCCUUUGGCCUCUGCAAUCGGAGAGAUUGAGGUCUGCAGCGUAGAUCCUUCGGGGUUAGAUACAUUUGUGCUAAGUUAUAGCCUUUCAUAGACAACUUGUUGACUAUGAUCAGUCAUGUAGCUUACUCGCUUAUGCUAUUUUACCUACGCUUAGGAUGUUGAUGUGAUACUGCGAGCA
rnacentral:rRNA from 1 species